CAGUAGCCGCGGUAAAACGAAGGGUGCAAGCGUUACUCGGAAUUACUGGGCGUAAAGCGUGCGCAGGCGGUUUGCUAAGACAGAUGUGAAAUCCCCGGGCUCAACCUGGGAACUGCAUUUGUGACUGGCAAGCUAGAGUGUGGCAGAGGGGGGUGGAAUUCCGCGUGUAGCGGCGAAAUGCGUAGAGAUCGGGAGGAACAUCAGUGGCGAAGGCGGCCAUCUGGGACAACACUGACGCUGAGGCACGAAAGCGUGGGGAGCAAACAGGAUUAGAUACCCCUGUAGUCCCUGUCUCUUAUAC
rnacentral:rRNA from 1 species